GGAAAACACAAAGGGGGCAAAAGAAUGGCAUUGAUUUAUACUAGUACAUAUAUAUUUUUAAUAAGAAAAAAAAGCAAAAAGAGUGCAGAAAGUGACAAAAUCACAGUAAAGCGUGACAGUGUCAGCUCCAUUAGCUUUGCUACUAGGCUUCUCUUCCCAAAACCAAAGUCUUGUUCUUUUCACUUCACCACCCAUUUCCCUAUUUUCAUCAAAUGUCUCAUCAUCUCUAUCUCCUUCCAUUUCUCUUUCUAUAAUUUCUUCUUUCUUCUUCCAUUUCUGUGGUUUCAUUUCAUCAUAGGAUAG